rnacentral:lncRNA from 1 species
GGACCAGCCAGGGUACACAAAAAGACAAUGUUGAUUACAUAACCAUCGUUCUUAGAAACAACUGAAAAUUACACUUAUUCUAGCGGAAAUGCAGCGGAAAGAAAAAGGUAGACUAGCUCCAGCGGGUACGGCUCCAGUCCACAGGCAAAGCUUCGACGGCAGAUCAGCUCACUCCUGAGAGGCACCUCCAUCGGACUCG